AGAGGCCACAACAGUGAGAGGCCCGCGUACCGCAAAAAAAAAAAAAAAGUAAGAAGUGGAUUUCUUUAGAGAGAUACACAUUCCAUAGACAGAAUGUGGUCCAUCUCAAAAGGUGAGAACGGCCUUGGGAGAAACACACUUCACAGACAGAGUGUGGGCCAUCUCAGAAGGUGAGAGAAAGUCAAAGGUUCUUAGAGAAAAAAAAAAAAAAGUUCUUAGCCAGGCAUUCAGUCCCUUCUGGAAUCAACUGCUCAGCCUCUCCCUGCCUGCCCUGCUCGGACCCCUGCAGCCCUGCUCAAAGGUCCUGGCCUUGUCCUCUUGCCCACCUGGUGACACCUACUCAGUGUCAGGCUUCAGCUCAAGCAUCCUCUCCCACCCCAUUCCCCCACAUCAGGCACAAUGUUCACUCCCUGCUCUGCGUCCCCAAGUUACCAACCAUCUGUGUGCGGAGAAAUGAGGGCUCGGCCUUCUGUUUUCUGUCACAAUAACUGGUGUGUCCUUGGCAUUCAUUGGAAGGGAGGUGGGAGGGCGGGAGGAAUAAACGGAAGAAAGGAAGAGAAAAUGAAAGGAAGAAAGAAAGGGGAAAUUGAGGUUGGGAUGGAAAAUGCCACUUGCCCAAAUCACCCUGAGGGCAGGCAGCUACCCAGCUGGCCUGCUCUCUCAGUCACCUGACAGCCAGCACAGAGCGCCACACCAAGCCGUUUUCCCAGCGCUGCUUGCCACAGGCGCUCAGUGCUGAUUCAGUGGUGACUCGGCUCCAAUUAUUUGCAGAACUGGAAUGACAGCUGAGCCACCCCAGCAGCUGACCAAGGGCGUAUCGAUUUGUGCUAGGCUCCUUGGGAAUAUCUGAGCCAGUCACACAUGAAGAUAAAGGCUCCAAAGAACCCACCCACGGUGAUCUGUCCUGCUUAAACCUCCCACGGCCAAGUCCACAAGUCUCCCCAUUGAUCAGCCAACUCUGCCCUUUCCAACCCAAGCCUGACCAUCACUCGCGGAGAGUAGUCAUGGUUCAGAACACGGGAUCUGGAGUCAGGCAGCCUGGGUUCCAGCCCAAGGCUUACUGAGUCAAAGGGUAUUUACAUAUUUACUGUUGAGAGAUGCUGCCAAACUGCCUUCCAAAAAGUUGGACCCAUUUAUACUCCCACCAGCAGUAUAAGACAGUGCCCGUUCCCAUACUUUCUCCAUCUUUACCAAUCUGUUUCAAAACAAAAAAAACAAAACACCCUCUACUACCAUGCUUGCAUUUCUUGCACUAGCAUCUUUUCAUCUUGUUUUGGCAAUUUGAAUUUCUGUAAAUUGCCUGGCUGUAUCCUUUGUCCAUUUUUAAAAAUUUGAGUUGUCAUCUUUUUGUUAUUUAUUUGUAGUAGCUUAUUACAUAUUUGGAUAUCAACCUCUGUUAUAAAUGUUAAAGUAUUAUUUCCACUUAA